UACGUAGGGGGCAAGUGUUGUCCGGAAUCAUUGGGCGUAAAGCGCGUGUAGGCGGCCUCGUAAGUCCGCUCUGAAAGCCUGGGGCUCAACCCCAGGAGGCGGGUGGAUACUGCGAGGCUCGAGUACGGAAGAGGCGAGUGGAAUUCCCGGUGUAGCGGUGAAAUGCGCAGAUAUCGGGAGGAACACCAAUGGCGAAGGCAGCUCGCUGGGACGUUACUGACGCUGAGGAGCGAAAGCGUGGGGAGCGAACAGG
rnacentral:rRNA from 1 species